AUGCCAAGAAAAUCAACCAACCCCAUGAGUUCUGGAAUUAUCUCCAGGUGGGCAUCGUUAUCGUGGUGGGAAUAAAACUAUUUAAAUUAAACGAAUCUGGUUCCGAAAGUCAUUCCUAGAGAAGAACUUUUCUUCAACACAAGAUAUCUGCAGUUCGCUCUGGAGCUACUGUUCUGAAAAGGUCAGCCUAUUAGGUAAUUCAGAAAGAUGAAGAUUGCUGUUCUGUUGACCAUUGCGGCCUUGUUGGUCGUGUCUAUCUCUGCAAUGCGCCGACCACUUCCAUCGGUUAUUUUUCACUUGAAAAUGCCCCUUAUUUCUGAUUCUUCAUUUGGAUCAUCAAAAGGAAAACGUUCUUCCUACAAUGUGUCUAAAUUGAGUCGUACACACUCCCUGGUCCAAUUCCGUGGCAAGUUCUAUGAGUGGGGAAAAGCGAGUGCGAUGGGUGAAUUUUCCGAUGGAGGGAUCGGGAGAACCGAGAGACCUGAUCCAUCAACUGUAAAAACCGCAGGACACAGCUAUUGUACCACGGAGGAGGCCGAAGCAUUGGGCAGAGAUUACAUGGAUAGAAACACCUACAGUUUAACAGGGAACAAUUGCCAUCAUUACGCUCAAUAUUUGAUUGAUAGGCUGAUGAAUAACGAAUGUGAUUGGACAUGUCUUUCUUGAGCAACUCAAAUCAAAUUGAGUUCUCAUUUAAUAUCUGCUGAUCCGAGAAUAUCAGUUUAUAAUGUAUUACCUCUUGUCAAUGUAUACGAUAAGAUGCUUUGAUUCAUAAACGUCAUGAAGGUAAAUACUAUAGAUGCUGAUUGUUAUGUGAAAAAAUAAGGACGAAGAAUAAUAAGAAUGGUCUGUAGAAAGGAAUUCCUUUGAUAUUUCAUUAUGCAUUUAAUGUAGAUAAAGUGUACAUGGAGUAAGAAAAUGUGUAACAUUAGUAUGCUUUUUGCAUGAAAAUUCUAUUUCAAAAUAAUUCUCAUGUGUGACAAUUAGUUAAUUGUUAAAUGAAGAGUUUGGUUGCAAAAGGGGUUAGGUCUACUUUGGACCAUUCCGAGAAAAACCAUGUUUUUUAUUCUCACUUAUGGCAAUAUUCUUAUGACAAACUAAAUUGCCAUGAUGUACUACCCUAUCAUGUGAACAUAAAAUUUGGUAUGAAAGAAAUCUACCUGUCAUUUUUUCUAUAUAUUAUCAUUGUGGACCUAAUCCCUUUUGCAAGCAAACUGAAAUGAAUCCAAUAUAUCUUGAUUAAAAAGGAAAUUUUUCUUUGCCACUUUUAUUCACGUUUUCAUGUGAAAUUUCAAAAUGUAUUUGUUUUCAUCAGAGCGACAAAAAAUUUAGAGGUUUUGAGAAGAAAACAAUACAAUUUAUGAACAAUGGACCUAACCCCUUUUGCAAGUGAGCUCUUCAAAUAUGGUAUCAUUUGAAAGAGGAAUUGAUUACCUACAACCUAUUUACAAUUAAUGUACUGUUAUAGACUUACUUGUGCUUGAAAAAACAUGCACUAUAUAUAGUGCGUAUCAAAAAAAGUUUACACUUUGAAAAAGCCCUGGAUAUUAAAAAAUAUACAACAUGUGGAUAUUUUUAUCACUUAUAAUCUUGGGUUUGGGUCUCAUCUAUCCAAUGGAAGUAAAAGUUAUGACAGAAUGUUACACUUGAGUGAGUACUGUCCGUUUUUGUAAAGCUCGCAGAAAUCUGUUUGUGCAGAAAUGCUCGUUUUCACGCUGUGUCAAGGGGAAAUGGCGAAAUCAAACUUACCCUGCGAAACAUUUCUCAUACAUUUCCCUUGCACUUUUAGUCAAUUGUAAUAAAACGGAUACAUUCAAGCAUUUUGUAACAAUUUUGCCACCCAAAUUGAAAUUUUAACAUUUAGUAAGCACAAUAUUUACCUUUUUUGUGCCAGAUGGAUCUGAGGACAUAACGGAAUCUGAACAAAAGUUUAUAACAGACAUCUCCAGCAUUUUUUUCACUAAGUUUUUAUCAUUUAAAGUGGGUUUACAUUUCAUUUUUCAUUUAAUACUUGUUUCUCGACACUUUUCCCAAGCUUUAACAAUGAUUAACUAAAUGAAAAUCAAGCCUAAGCCAUUUCAUGUAAAUCACAGUUCAGUGUAAAGCAAUAACGCCUUGAUGGCCUCGGUGUGUGGGGGAGUGCGGUGUGGCGCAAUGCACUCUUCGAAGUGUUCUGGGCAAGGAAACAAGUUUUUAAAGAUAAAAGAUAUCUUCAAAUCAAUUUUACUAGCUAAAUUUCACGUGUUCUUCAUGAUAAAGGUCUACUUUUUAUUUGCAUAACUAUUUCAAAGUUCUGCGCAAAUCAUUUUUCACUAACUUUUCAAAAGUAAGUGGUGCUCAUUCAAGCGGAAAUAUUUCUCGACAGUUAUAUCGUCAUUUGCUUAAAUGGAUCUGUACUAAUGUUAAAAUGUGGAAAAAUCUUCAGAAUAUAACAAAUGUGUAAUUUUACAGGAUUUUUUUUUUUUUGGAUACGCACUGUAUACGGGCCUACAUAGGUUGGUAGAAUGUGCGAUUAAGCAAAACCCUUUUGUACUUGAGGGUUAAUAACUUAUAUACACGGGCCAAUUACACGAAAUGAAACAUUGUUUGCUAUAGUCAUGAUAGUAGUUAAUCCCAAACAAUAUGGUGCUAUUUUUGGAAAGAUCAUUUCCCCUUUAUUAUUCCACGCUUUUGGUGAAUAGGGGACAUUAAGAGAGUACAACACUCGAUUUUACCCAAAAUGAUUCUCUUUUGAAGCAACAGUUCAUCAUUCCCCCAUUUUGCAACUUGAGCUAUUGAGAGCAGAUGUAUAUCGACACAAUUUUACAUUGGCAUCUAAAUGAGUGGAUUAUGACCACUGACUUAGAUGGCCUGGACGUUCCGUUGGAUAACUGACACCACGCUGAAGUACCGUCAUGUUACCCUUCCAAAUCAAUCGACGGGCGCAGAAAAAAAAGAUAGAAAUACGGAUUUUUGAAAAAGUAAGGCAAUCUUUUCUUCCAGAAAUUUGUAAGGAUGAGUUUUGAUUGUUAAAUUAGACAUGCUUACAUGUGCUACAGUCAACUCUUCUAAUAGAUUUUUUUUCUUCCUGACCUGAACAGUGGCUUUCUUUUAUAAUCUGUAUAGGCCCAAAUACGAUAAUUUACAAUGUUCUGAGUUAAAGUAUUGAUAAAAUGUAAUAAAUAUAUUCUUGA